UGUUCCCAAUGACUUACAGUAUGGUACUGGCCGUGGCUGCUGCUGCUGCUGCUGCAAACCUCUUGGCUGCACAAGAAAAGAACGGAUCAGCUGAGACCUUCAGUCACAUAAAUGCAACGGCACGGGCUGAUCUGGAAGAAAGCCGCAUUUUGUAAAUCAUUCUUUAUAAUCUGCUGAGUAAGCCGGCCUGGAUGUUUUUUUUAAAUGGUUGCACACAUGUAACCAGAGAAGUCCAGCUGUUCGCUGACAGGCGUAGGGAAGAGGUGUAACCUUGCCUGCGUCGGGGGAGGAGCCGCUCGGGCCCAGCGCGGGGCGCUCCCAGCAUGGGUGGGCAUGGCUUGGCAGGGAGCAACCAGUGCGACUGAUGGGGAGCUGAACGGCUGCCAGGCUGGGCACGACGCGAGGCAGGUGUGAGCAAACACACGUACCUCCAGGACGAGGGAUGAGAGGCGAGGAGGGGCUCUGCCAGGCGGCGGUCAGGAGUUUCUCUUGGCGUGCAAUCAGAGGCGUGGGAUACGGCUUGCUUUCGCUGCAGAUGAAAGAUGCAUUAAAAUGGCAAUAUUGCAUUUAAGCUUCUAAUCGACAGCAAAUCAGAGCAUGCAUUAUUACAUAAGGAAAUCUGAAAUCAAAAUUCAUCGUGAGUUUUGAAGGCAAAUUCAAAUCUGCUUCAUAAGAAGGCUCAGUUUUGUUUACCCAGAUAAAAUGUUGUCAAAGGCAAUAGAAAAACUGCACAGCCUGUCUGUGCGUGUGCUCUGACAUCGUGCAGAAGGGCUUUCUGCAAACAUGGCUGUGGGCACCAGUUAGCAAACAGGACGCUGCCAAGCCACAAGUAUGAAGCCAGUCACUUGUUUCAAGGUCAAGAAAGCCAGAGUGCUGAUUUAGCUGCUUUUAUUUGUUUGUGAUAGGAGUCUUAUGACUGCUACCCAUCUGGGAAGAUUGUUCUGCACCGCUGGAUACACCGGUCACUUUCUAUGCAUGAUCUCUUUUGCAAUUCUGGCAUUAUUUUCCUCAAUCUUACAAGCGUGAACUGAAUCAAUACCCCCUUUCUGUGCUUCUCUGCCCAUGCCUUCCUUUAUGCCUUUUCAAAUGUUCUUAGCACUCGCAUGAACAUUUGUCAAUGUAAGCAUCUAUCAGUAAGCUCUCAUGUCAGGACGUGCUGGUGCCAAGCGCCUUUGCUGAAAACUGGUGAUGUGUUUGCUGUUGUGUUUGGUCCUUUGCUUUAGUUUUAUUGUAGCAGCGCAGUAUGUUUGAAACAGGUUUAGAAAUUGUUUGUGUAAAUAAGGUUAAAUAAAAACAGAUCUUGAUAAGGAUGGCAGAACACUGCUUUCCGCUAAGAUAAGCAGUGUGUUAUUUCGCUUGUAAGAAUCACCACUGGGAUUUCAUGCUGGAUAUUCCCUUUACUUGGCUUAGUUUAACAGAACUGUUGGAUUUAAUUCGCUUAAAUAUCAUGUUAACAGUUCUAAACCGGUGUAAUUUGUUGCAGCUCCAGUGAUUCCAAAGGACAAUUUAGGCCUUGUAAGCCUCUGCCCUGCAUUUGUGCUAUGCAUUAAAAGCAAACCCAGGAAAGAACCACAGAAAGAUCUGACUGCAUGCAUGGAGAGAAUGCUCAGGAGUUAACAGCAUGGCUUAAAUGGAUUCAGCACUUCUGUAUGUGACUGCGGAACCUCUCCAUCUGUGCAAAAUGUGGAGACCAUGAACCUGAAAUGUCAGCAGCCAGCCCUACGCGUUACAGGUCUCAGCAUUGCUCGGGGAGAGUAUUCCCCCAUAUUAAAAGACUUGCAGAGCGUUCAGAACCUUGGAAGGUACAUGGGCUGUGCUGCAAGGUGGUGGCUGCAAGGGUGCUGAGCUGAUGGAGCUGCUGCCUUGUUAGGUAAAAUGAGGUAGGUAAGAUGAUUAACCUCAGUUCUGAAUUUUGACCAAGAACCACUUCGAUUAUUAAUCCAUGCCGCUUAACUAUUAAUUCUAUCAACC